AAGGAUUUAAGUUAAAUCCAAACUGUCAGCCUUCAAAGCCGAAAAUAGGAAGUUCCUAAGCCUUA
rnacentral:tRNA from 1 species